rnacentral:rRNA from 1 species
GGGUUGUGAGGUUAAGCGACUAAGCGUACACGGUGGAUGCCCUGGCAGUCAGAGGCGAUGAAGGACGUGCUAAUCUGCGAUAAGCGUCGGUAAGGUGAUAUGAACCGUUAUAACCGGCGAUUUCCGAAUGGGGAAACCCAGUGUGUUUCGACACACUAUCAUUAACUGAAUCCAUAGGUUAAUGAGGCGAACCGGGGGAACUGAAACAUCUAAGUACCCCGAGGAAAAGAAAUCAACCGAGAUUCCCCCAGUAGCGGCGAGCGAACGGGGAGGAGCCCAGAGCCUGAAUCAGUGUGUGUGUUAGUGGAAGCGUCUGGAAAGGCGCGCGAUACAGGGUGACAGCCCCGUACACAAAAAUGCACAUGCUGUGAGCUCGAUGAGUAGGGCGGGACACGUGGUAUCCUGUCUGAAUAUGGGGGGACCAUCCUCCAAGGCUAAAUACUCCUGACUGACCGAUAGUGAACCAGUACCGUGAGGGAAAGGCGAAAAGAACCCCGGCGAGGGGAGUGAAAAAGAACCUGAAACCGUGUACGUACAAGCAGUGGGAGCACGCUUAGGCGUGUGACUGCGUACCUUUUGUAUAAUGGGUCAGCGACUUAUAUUCUGUAGCAAGGUUAACCGAAUAGGGGAGCCGAAGGGAAACCGAGUCUUAACUGGGCGUUAAGUUGCAGGGUAUAGACCCGAAACCCGGUGAUCUAGCCAUGGGCAGGUUGAAGGUUGGGUAACACUAACUGGAGGACCGAACCGACUAAUGUUGAAAAAUUAGCGGAUGACUUGUGGCUGGGGGUGAAAGGCCAAUCAAACCGGGAGAUAGCUGGUUCUCCCCGAAAGCUAUUUAGGUAGCGCCUCGUGAAUUCAUCUCCGGGGGUAGAGCACUGUUUCGGCAAGGGGGUCAUCCCGACUUACCAACCCGAUGCAAACUGCGAAUACCGGAGAAUGUUAUCACGGGAGACACACGGCGGGUGCUAACGUCCGUCGUGAAGAGGGAAACAACCCAGACCGCCAGCUAAGGUCCCAAAGUCAUGGUUAAGUGGGAAACGAUGUGGGAAGGCCCAGACAGCCAGGAUGUUGGCUUAGAAGCAGCCAUCAUUUAAAGAAAGCGUAAUAGCUCACUGGUCGAGUCGGCCUGCGCGGAAGAUGUAACGGGGCUAAACCAUGCACCGAAGCUGCGGCAGCGACGCUUAUGCGUUGUUGGGUAGGGGAGCGUUCUGUAAGCCUGUGAAGGUGUGCUGUGAGGCAUGCUGGAGGUAUCAGAAGUGCGAAUGCUGACAUAAGUAACGAUAAAGCGGGUGAAAAGCCCGCUCGCCGGAAGACCAAGGGUUCCUGUCCAACGUUAAUCGGGGCAGGGUGAGUCGACCCCUAAGGCGAGGCCGAAAGGCGUAGUCGAUGGGAAACAGGUUAAUAUUCCUGUACUUGGUGUUACUGCGAAGGGGGGACGGAGAAGGCUAUGUUGGCCGGGCGACGGUUGUCCCGGUUUAAGCGUGUAGGCUGGUUUUCCAGGCAAAUCCGGAAAAUCAAGGCUGAGGCGUGAUGACGAGGCACUACGGUGCUGAAGCAACAAAUGCCCUGCUUCCAGGAAAAGCCUCUAAGCAUCAGGUAACAUCAAAUCGUACCCCAAACCGACACAGGUGGUCAGGUAGAGAAUACCAAGGCGCUUGAGAGAACUCGGGUGAAGGAACUAGGCAAAAUGGUGCCGUAACUUCGGGAGAAGGCACGCUGAUAUGUAGGUGAAGCGACUUGCUCGUGGAGCUGAAAUCAGUCGAAGAUACCAGCUGGCUGCAACUGUUUAUUAAAAACACAGCACUGUGCAAACACGAAAGUGGACGUAUACGGUGUGACGCCUGCCCGGUGCCGGAAGGUUAAUUGAUGGGGUCAGCGCAAGCGAAGCUCUUGAUCGAAGCCCCGGUAAACGGCGGCCGUAACUAUAACGGUCCUAAGGUAGCGAAAUUCCUUGUCGGGUAAGUUCCGACCUGCACGAAUGGCGUAAUGAUGGCCAGGCUGUCUCCACCCGAGACUCAGUGAAAUUGAACUCGCUGUGAAGAUGCAGUGUACCCGCGGCAAGACGGAAAGACCCCGUGAACCUUUACUAUAGCUUGACACUGAACAUUGAGCCUUGAUGUGUAGGAUAGGUGGGAGGCUUUGAAGUGUGGACGCCAGUCUGCAUGGAGCCGACCUUGAAAUACCACCCUUUAAUGUUUGAUGUUCUAACGUUGACCCGUAAUCCGGGUUGCGGACAGUGUCUGGUGGGUAGUUUGACUGGGGCGGUCUCCUCCUAAAGAGUAACGGAGGAGCACGAAGGUUGGCUAAUCCUGGUCGGACAUCAGGAGGUUAGUGCAAUGGCAUAAGCCAGCUUGACUGCGAGCGUGACGGCGCGAGCAGGUGCGAAAGCAGGUCAUAGUGAUCCGGUGGUUCUGAAUGGAAGGGCCAUCGCUCAACGGAUAAAAGGUACUCCGGGGAUAACAGGCUGAUACCGCCCAAGAGUUCAUAUCGACGGCGGUGUUUGGCACCUCGAUGUCGGCUCAUCACAUCCUGGGGCUGAAGUAGGUCCCAAGGGUAUGGCUGUUCGCCAUUUAAAGUGGUACGCGAGCUGGGUUUAGAACGUCGUGAGACAGUUCGGUCCCUAUCUGCCGUGGGCGCUGGAGAACUGAGGGGGGCUGCUCCUAGUACGAGAGGACCGGAGUGGACGCAUCACUGGUGUUCGGGUUGUCAUGCCAAUGGCACUGCCCGGUAGCUAAAUGCGGAAGAGAUAAGUGCUGAAAGCAUCUAAGCACGAAACUUGCCCCGAGAUGAGUUCUCCCUGACYCYUURAGRGUCCUGAAGGAACGUUGAAGACGACGACGUUGAUAGGCCGGGUGUGUAAGCGCAGCGAUGCGUUGAGCUAACCGGUACUAAUGAACCGUGAGGCUUAACCUUACAACGCCGAAGCUGUU